GUGUUCACUUCAGCAGCACAUACACUAAAAUUGGGAUGAUUCUGAGGAGAUGAGCAUGGCCCCUGCGCAAGAACAACACACAAAUUCCUGAAGUGUUCCGUGUGGUU